AAAAAAAAAGAAAAAAAAAAGAAAAGAAUAAAGGAGAAAAGACUAGAAGCUUUCCCAUUUUUGUUUUCUCCUCCUCCCCGUGAACAAUCAACCAUGAAACCCACUUCUCCCAUCUUUUCUCUUUUACACUAAUUUCUUCAAAUUUCAUCUCUAAUCAACUCUCCAUCUUCUCCCAGCACCUUUCCAAAGAAGAAUUUGAAGAAAAGAAGGGAAAUUAAAGAGAAAUUUAAAGGGUGAGGGGGGAAUGAAUAGUAACCAAGGAUUAGGAAUUGAAAGAAGUGGAAAGGAAAAGUGAAAGUUCCAAAGGGAAAGAAAAGGAAGAGUAGAGAAGUAAAGCUUGUAGAAUAUUUUGGAAAUUCUAAGGUUGUAGAUUCAAGGAACAGUAGAGCAAGAUCUGCAUCAACCCAGUCAGAGUUACAUCAUUGAGUAUCCUGGGGUAUAUUUUGUAAAUUUUCAUAUGAACUUGAUUGUGGAAAUAUGGCAUGUACAUAAAGUUUUAGAGAUAAAUGUGUAUAUGGUUUGAAUUAGAUGUAUUUGAAUAUUUUAAUGUUGAUGUAAAUAUUGGUUAUUCGUAUACA